rnacentral:rRNA from 1 species
GGAACUGCCGGUGACAAGCCGGAGGAAGGUGGGGAUGACGUCAAGUCCUCAUGGCCCUUAUGUCCUGGGCUACACACGUGCUACAAUGGCGGUGACAACGGGAAGCCAGGUCGCGAGGCCGAGCCGAUCCUGAAAAGCCGUCUCAGUUCAGAUUGCACUCUGCAACUCGGGUGCAUGAAGGUGGAAUCGCUAGUAAUCGCGGAUCAGCAUGCCGCGGUGAAUACGUUCCCGGGCCUUGUACACACCGCCCGUCACACCAUGGGAGUUGGUUCGACCUUAAGUCGGUGCGCCAACCUGAGCAAUCAGGAGGUAGCCGAUCACGGUCGGGUUAGCGACUGGGGUGAAGUCGUAACAAGGUAGCCGUAGGGGAACCUGCGGCUGGAUCACCUCCUUUCAAGGAAUUGUCCUGACGGCACGGUCGCGAGAUCG